GAUGAACGCUGGCGGCGUGCCUAAUACAUGCAAGUAGAACGCUGAAGCUUGGUGCUUGCACCGAGCGGAUGAGUUGCGAACGGGUGAGUAACGCGUAGGUAACCUGCCUGGUAGCGGGGGAUAACUAUUGGAAACGAUAGCUAAUACCGCAUGACAACAGUUAUUGCAUGAUAACUGUUUAAAAGGGGCAAUUGCUCCACUACCAGAUGGACCUGCGUUGUAUUAGCUAGUUGGUGAGGUAACGGCUCACCAAGGCGACGAUACAUAGCCGACCUGAGAGGGUGAUCGGCCACACUGGGACUGAGACACGGCCCAGACUCCUACGGGAGGCAGCAGUAGGGAAUCUUCGGCAAUGGACGGAAGUCUGACCGAGCAACGCCGCGUGAGUGAAGAAGGUUUUCGGAUCGUAAAGCUCUGUUGUAAGAGAAGAACGAGUGUGAGAGUGGAAAGUUCACACUGUGACGGUAUCUUACCAGAAAGGGACGGCUAACUACGUGCCAGCAGCCGCGGUAAUACGUAGGUCCCGAGCGUUAUCCGGAUUUAUUGGGCGUAAAGCGAGCGCAGGCGGUUAGAUAAGUCUGAAGUUAAAGGCUGUGGCUUAACCAUAGUACGCUUUGGAAACUGUUUAACUUGAGUGCAAGAGGGGAGAGUGGAAUUCCAUGUGUAGCGGUGAAAUGCGUAGAUAUAUGGAGGAACACCGGUGGCGAAAGCGGCUCUCUGGCUUGUAACUGACGCUGAGGCUCGAAAGCGUGGGGAGCAAACAGG
rnacentral:rRNA from 1 species